rnacentral:lncRNA from 1 species
CCUCCAUUCAUGCAUUUAUACUUCUCCCCACGUUUUUACCGAUUUUAGAAUUUUUAUGGCCUUCAAAUGGGUUAAAAAAAAGUGCCCCGGCUAACAAGAGGUUGUGCCUUAGCGCCAUAGUAGUGUAGUGGCGCUGCCUUGUUUUCUUGUGUGGCGCCUCAACAUGUUUAUGUUUUCUUGGGUGUCAUCUCACCAUAGAAAGAUGCAACAUCCCAAUCUUCUGUCGUAGAUGAAAGAGUCAUCAAUGCAACUACGAUAGAUCUCACGCUUGGUCGUAGUUGAGGAUAGAGGGUCAACGAGAUCACUUGGAUCUAGCUGAUCAAGAACUUCUUCAAGCUAUAAUCUCCAAGGAUUAGUCCAUGACAAGAAAACAAGACACAAUUAUAUCUUUGGUAUCUAAAUAAUUGAACAAACCGAAAUCUUGAAACACUAUUUUUGUUUUCAAAACAUGAAAUUAUACAACUUACCAAGGCAACAAGGCCCUUUGAAUCAGCAAGGGAAUUGUUUGCCUUAACUAUGGCCUCCUUGGCUAAGAUUAAUUCAUACAUGAUGACACCAAAAGCAUAGACAUCUACUUUAGGAGAAACAUCAACAUAUAAUUGAUCUCAGCUAGUUUCAAAAAAUAAGCAACUAUGCCACUGUAAUUUCUGAAGUCCCUUAUAAUUACCCUUUCAUUGAGAUGUGAUUCGAUGAUUUUUGGCACCUCGUGAGUCAUUUGCUUUUCAAAAACAAAAGAGAGUAACCAAAUAGUUUGUGCGACGAAGGUGAGAAUUAUCUCUUGCUCAUCUUCAAUUUG